GGCCCUGCUUGCAGUGGUACUCGAGUGGCGAACGGGUGAGUAACACGUGGGUGAUCUGCCCUGCACUUCGGGAUAAGCUUGGGAAACUGGGUCUAAUACCGGAUAGGAGCCAUCUUUAGUGUGGUGGUUGGAAAGUUUUUUCGGUGUAGGAUGAGCUCGCGGCCUAUCAGCUUGUUGGUGGGGUAAUGGCCUACCAAGGCGGCGACGGGUAGCCGGCCUGAGAGGGUGUACGGCCACAUUGGGACUGAGAUACGGCCCAGACUCCUACGGGAGGCAGCAGUGGGGAAUAUUGCACAAUGGGCGCAAGCCUGAUGCAGCGACGCCGCGUGGGGGAUGAAGGCCUUCGGGUUGUAAACUCCUUUCGCUAGGGACGAAGCUUUGUUGUGACGGUACCUGGAUAAGAAGCACCGGCUAACUACGUGCCAGCAGCCGCGGUAAUACGUAGGGUGCGAGCGUUGUCCGGAAUUACUGGGCGUAAAGGGCCCGUAGGUGGUUUGUCGCGUCGUCUGUGAAAUUCUGGGGCUUAACUCCGGGCGUGCAGGCGAUACGGGCAUAACUUGAGUGCUGUAGGGGUAACUGGAAUUCCUGGUGUAGCGGUGAAAUGCGCAGAUAUCAGGAGGAACACCGAUGGCGAAGGCAGGUUACUGGGCAGU
rnacentral:rRNA from 1 species